GAAAUAUAGGCUAACACUUAAACCGUGGGCCUUCAAAGCCCAAACUGUGAAUCACUCACUAUUUCUG
rnacentral:tRNA from 1 species